rnacentral:rRNA from 1 species
UACAGAGGUCUCAAGCGUUGUUCGGAUUCAUUGGGCGUAAAGGGCGCGUAGGCGGCCCGGCGCGUCCGCGGUGAAAGCUCCCGGCUCAACUGGGAGAGGUCCGCGGAAACGGUCGGGCUGGAGCAAGGUAGGGGGUCGUGGAAUUCCCGGUGUAGUGGUGGAAUGCGUAGAGAUCGGGAGGAACACCAGUGGCGAAGGCGGCGACCUGGACCUGUGCUGACGCUGAGGCGCGAAAGCGUGGGGAGCGAUCCGG